GAUCCAGAACCGCAUAGCAUUCUGGGAGACGCAGGCAGAGGAAAGGCUUUAGCUGCUCACGGCUAGCUAAGCUAAGUUGGUGGCAUCAACUAACUUGCUCACAUUGCUAGGCAUUCUUCAGUUGCCUAGCAACAACCUGAAACAGGAAACGUCUGGUCAGCAGUUUGACAGAAUUUCAGAUUUUUUUAAACACUAAACUGAUCAAUAUUUUAUUAACUGACUGAUAUGAAGCACUGAUGUUGUUCCGGCUCUGUCCAGCCCAGCUGUAAUGAUGGAUAUGACUGCCACAGAAGCCCCGCCCAUCUCUCCAGUUCUUCCUCCAGGGAUUGGUCAGACUGAUGGCUCAGAUUGUCAGGAACCAAUCAGAUUGAUUGGCUGCAGCCAGAUCUAUUUCCUGUUUCCUGUCCUGAUUGAUGGCAGUAAUAAACUCUCCUGGGGGAGGAGGAACUGGGAACCAGUUUAACUCUGACUGGUGUCGGAGCUUCAGUCAGGUUUGGACUUUAACGAUGAGUCGGCACCGAUGAAUGGAGCUGAAUCAACAGUUCAUGUUUUCAUGAUGACGUAACCAUGGCAACGGGCCGAGGCUGAACCUGACUUACCUUCAGGGGGAAGAAAUGAAUGAUUCACAGCUUCACUAGCAAGGAACCACAACACACACGCACACACUGAUACACACUAACACACACACAGAACACACACACACACACACACACACACACAGUCCUGAUUCACUCCUGUUCUGAGGACUGUCGGAUCCAAACCCGGUUCUAAACGGUUCUGAAUCUGAGGCUGAGCGUCCAGCCUGGUCCUCACACAGCAGGUAAACUCAGACAAACAGGACAGGAGCAGAACACACGCACACACACACACACACACAUAACUGUGUGUGUGUGACGUCAUACUAAAAGAAGAAAAGCAGCAUCUUUCUGCAGUCACCAUGACGACGCAGCAUCAUGGCCAUAGUUGAAGAUGAAGAUGGACACCUGGACAUGUUCUUACCUGAGCGGCGUGGAGCAGAGCGGCGCCGAGCAGCAGGAGGCCGAGAGACGCCAUGCUGCAGACGGAGGGAGACACACACUGAGGAAGAGGAGGGAGGAGCUAUGACUCAGGAGAGGAAGAGGAGGAGAGCUCUGCUUCAUCAGCACCGUUCUGCAGGGAAUCACAACAAAAUGAAAGCAUCAAAUAUCACCAGUAAAAUUAUAUUCAUGUGCAAUAAUUCACAAAUUUAAAGAAACAAAGAAAUUCUCAAAGAUUUUCUGUUUAAUGCAGGACUGUUAAGCUUCCAAUCUGCUGCUGUCUUAUAGAUGCUAUGUUAUGGAUUACAUGGGUAGUGUCUAUGCCAGGGGUGUCCAAAGUGCGGCCCGUGGGCCAUUUGUGGUCUUUCAAACAAAUGUGUGUGGCUGCAGUUAAGACUGGAACAAAUCUGACUUCUGUCAUUUUUUACGUGAGAAUUUCAAUGAAAACUUUAAUUCUUCUUCAACAAAGUGUUAGAGCCAGAACAUUUUUGAUUAAUAGCAAUGUUUACUUUCUAUUUUAAUUUCAUAGAAAGUAAGACUUUAGAUCCAGUGACUUUUGCUAAAAAGAGAAACUGAACCUGGAGGACGAGACCACGUAGAACCAACAUGACCAAGGCUAAUGUCGCAGCGCUAACAGGUCUGAUGAAUCUGCAGUUUUAGAAAAGACAACGGUGCGCAGCUAACUGACACCAGACUAGAAAUACAAGGCCUGGAAGAAAGCCUGGCCAAGAGAAGACAGACUACAAGCAGCAUCUUCACUCAAUAAGAGGCUGAGCCAUCACCAAGCUAGGCUCGGCGCUAGGCUAGAAAUGAGAUUAGCUAGGCUAGAAGCUAGCUUUUAGACAAGGAGGGCAAGACAGAAUCAGUGGAAUUACCAGAAGACAGGGAAGGUCUUAAUAUUUUUGGUGUUUCUGGACUGAUUGUUUAAAAAACCUCAACCUUCUGACGGACCGGGGUUUAACCCAAAGAGCACCGAGAGCUCUAACCCAGAAACCGGACUUCAGUGGGGAAGCGCCGGUCCAUCACUGCGGUAACGUUUGGGAGCUAACAUGCUAAAGAGGAGGUAAUGAGAAAAAACGAGUCUUCUGUAAAGAAACCGUCAUUUGUUAUGGACUGUAACUUCCCUGCUGAAGUUCUUAAAGACGUUAAGAUCUAAAAUGCUCGAGUCACUCAGUCCUUCUUUCAUCUUCGAUAGAUGAGCAGACCUCCAGUAACUCUUCAUUAAAAGAUUCAUUCUUCUGUUAAAUAGGUCGGGUUGAUUAUGCCUCAUUUACCCAAAUAUCCUUCGUGUGGAUUAUUUAUAGCUUUUAGUAUUUAGUUUUUUCUUGGGGUGGACUGGGACUUCCC